GGAGGGAUGCCAGAGCGGUCGAAUGGGACGGUCUCGAAAACCGUUGUCUGCCUUACGGCGGACCGAGGGUUCGAAUCCCUCUCCCUCCG
rnacentral:tRNA from 1 species